rnacentral:rRNA from 1 species
AGAUUAAGUUAUUAAGGGCGCACGGUGGAUGCCUUGGCACUAGAAGCCGAUGAAGGACGUUACUAACGACGAUAUGCUUUGGGGAGCUGUAAGUAAGCUUUGAUCCAGAGAUUUCCGAAUGGGGAAACCCAGCAUGAGUUAUGUCAUGUUAUCGAUAUGUGAAUACAUAGCAUAUCAGAAGGCACACCCGGAGAACUGAAACAUCUUAGUACCCGGAGGAAGAGAAAGAAAAUUCGAUUCCCUUAGUAGCGGCGAGCGAAACGGGAAGAGCCCAAACCAACAAGCUUGCUUGUUGGGGUUGUAGGACACUCUAUACGGAGUUACAAAGGACGACAUUAGACGAAUCAUCUGGAAAGAUGAAUCAAAGAAGGUAAUAAUCCUGUAGUCGAAAAUGUUGUCUCUCUUGAGUGGAUCCUGAGUACGACGGAGCACGUGAAAUUCCGUCGGAAUCUGGGAGGACCAUCUCCUAAGGCUAAAUACUCUCUAGUGACCGAUAGUGAACCAGUACCGUGAGGGAAAGGUGAAAAGCACCCCGGAAGGGGAGUGAAAUAGAACCUGAAACCGUGUGCUUACAAGUAGUCAGAGCCCGUUAAUGGGUGAUGGCGUGCCUUUUGUAGAAUGAACCGGCGAGUUACGAUUUGAUGCAAGGUUAAGCAGUAAAUGUGGAGCCGUAGCGAAAGCGAGUCUGAAUAGGGCGUUUAGUAUUUGGUCGUAGACCCGAAACCAGGUGAUCUACCCUUGGUCAGGUUGAAGUUCAGGUAACACUGAAUGGAGGACCGAACCGACUUACGUUGAAAAGUGAGCGGAUGAACUGAGGGUAGCGGAGAAAUUCCAAUCGAWCCUGGAGAUAGCUGGUUCUCUCCGAAAUAGCUUUAGGGCUAGCCUCAAGUGAUGAUUAUUGGAGGUAGAGCACUGUUUGGACGAGGGGCCCCUCUCGGGUUACCGAAUUCAGACAASCUCCGAAUGCCAAUUAAUUUAACUUGGGAGUCAGAACAUGGGUGAUAAGGUCCGUGUUCGAAAGGGAAACAGCCCAGACCACCAGCUAAGGUCCCACAAUAUAUGUUAAGUGGAAAAGGAUGUGGCGUUGCCCAGACAACUAGGAUGUUGGCUUAGAAGCAGCCAUCAUUUAAAGAGUGCGUAAUAGCUCACUAGUCGAGUGACACUGCGCCGAAAAUGGACCGGGGCUAAAC